rnacentral:lncRNA from 1 species
UUCUCUGUGGCUUAUUUGGAGCAGUAGCUGCAUCAUUACUUUUUUUCACCGUUUUCAGGUAGCUAAAAUUGGUGCUUUCUGCUGUGGCCUUAGUUUAUGUAACCAGCACACAAUAAUACUCUAUGUUUUGUGCAUAAUACCUUGGAUUCUCUUUCAACUUUUAAAAAAGAAGGAACUCUCCCUGGGCUCUUUGUUGAAGUUGAGCCUGUACUUCUCUGCUGGUUUGCUGCCCUAUGUCCACCUUCCCAUCUCAUCUUACCUUAAUCACGCCCGGUGGACCUGGGGAGACCAGACAACACUGCAAGGAUUUUUGACACAUUUUCUCAGGGAAGAAUAUGGAACCUUCAGCCUGGCCAAAUCUGAAAUAGGAUCCAGUAUGUCUGAAAUACUGCUUUCUCAAGUAACAAAUAUGAGGACCGAACUCUCAUUCAACAUCCAAGCCCUUGCAGUUUGUGCAAAUAUAUGUUUAGCAACAAAGUGGAACGAUUCUGGAUGCAGAGCAAUGCAGUAGUGGCCGUCCUCGCUGGCAUUGGUUUGGCUGCAGUUG